UUCCAAAAGAGAAGAGAGUCAGAUGCCUGUCCAAGCUCCUGAGACCAAGGUUUGAUGGCACCAGAGCCAGGAUGAUGAAUGCAGAGAGCACAAGAUCCUAUGGAUGACCUCAGGGUUUCUGACAUGCCCCUCAAAGGGCUAAGGCAAGAGA